rnacentral:lncRNA from 1 species
CAAGUGCUCGUUUGUUGCCGACUGAUAUUUAGUUGGUGAGAAACAAGCAUUCGUCCUGCAAGCAAGUGUUAUUCGGCAAGACGCCUUAUGGCACAGGAAGUUAGUUCUUACGUUGCAGCUGAUGCUAGCGUAAAGUAUUGAGGCGGGUUUUCACUAAAUAAACAUCAGCAAAGGAAUGGAGAGAAAGAGGAAGCAGUAGAUGAGUGCAGCAGAAAAAAUGGGGUGGUGCCGAGGCUGGCUGGCUGGCUGGCUGGCGAGUCAGACCCUGGAAUUACCGAGCGAGCGAGUAUGCCGGUGAAGCUGGGAAAACGACAAGAGCAGAUGAAACAAAAAAAAACCAUCGAGGAGAGAAAAAGAACAAAGACAACUAAAUAGGACGACAACGUUAGUACUUAGGCUAUCAAUCUACCCCUUGCUCGAUCGGGGAUUUUCGACACGCGUGGCGAAAAAGCUUAUACUGUAGCCACACAAGGAUCACGUAACGUACUCUAAAUGCUCUUUCAUUGAGGGGACGGGGGUGCUUGUCCCACUCGACUUUUGAAGAGCAAGCAAAUAGAAUGUUAAGUAAGCUCAGACUCCUGAGUGACCAAAGAGCUAGAAAUUCAGCUUUCCGCUUUUCUUCGCAACAUACAUGAAGCCAUUAUGCAUGCACUGAGCACUACCGUAUUAAAUUCGACUCCUCGUAUAACU